AAAGCUUAAAUUUAUACUUAAAUAGUUAGGAAAACUCUUUAAGCAUAAAGCUUAAAGCACCAUGCUUAUGAAAGUGCUAUCAACCACUAAACAAUGUAUAGUCUCUUUUGAACUCUUCAAUCAGAUCUUAGAACUCCUCUCAGCCUGUCAUGCACAAGAAGGGCUGGAUUGUCCCACAUGUACCAGAGCUGGUCAGUAACCCAUUGGUCAGAGCCACUCAGCAUUUCUUCAGGAUUUCCCCAGCAUUACUCUCUGUAUGAGGAAUUCCAGUCCUAAAUGAGGGAGCAACAGGUACCUGUGUGUCUGUCCUGAUGGUCAAGGAAUGAUUCAAACCCUUUGCUACCAGGAUCAAGCAAACAAGAAGCACGAAGUCAAGCAAGCUGCACCUCUGCUGUGCCUGGCUGCCAUCUCCUGCUCCCCUUCAACAGAUGGGAAACACCCUGAAGCAAAAUUAAGAAGAGCCCUGUUUAUUUUGGGACUGCAGAUUACUGUCAAACGUGAAAAGAGACAAUUAUUUCCAUUGUGGAAAAUGUGGCAUUAACGAAGGAGCAGUUCCCC